rnacentral:lncRNA from 1 species
GCCUCAGCAUCCAGGUGCCAGAAACCAAGGAGAAAGACGUCUGAUUUCAGGGGCUCAAAUGGACAAAAAGGGAUCUUCAGCCACAGGAUGACAACCCUUUAGAAAUCACAGAAACCUCAGAUCACAUCUCACCCCUCUGCUGGAUGGAGGAGGAGUAGAGCUCCCAGUGGGUCACCUGCCAGGGGGCCGCUCCACCGGCUGGGCACAGGGCAGGACUGACCCCAGCCCUUCUUCCCGGGGCCUUUUCGGUGUGGCCACAUCCUCCAGAGUCAGGAGCUUAGUUUUUUUAUCCCCUCAGAGUCUCAAAUCGUGUGGCACGAUGAGAUCUUGAGUGACGCUAACUUUGUAAACACAGAGGAAGGGCAAGGGCAAAAGACCGGCCACAGUCUCUGCCCACCUCUGGGUGAGUGGCAGCAGCCCUGUGGCCAUGGGGGACAAGUUCAGCCGAGAGUCCAAAGGAGAGGCUGUGUAACUUCUGUGCAGAAUCGGCUCAGCCCUGCUGAGGUGCAGAGGUGCAGGCCACCCCAUGCAACUCCUGUCCACCGGCCUUAAGCUCGCAUCCUUGUUCAAACGUCUGCUCUCCUGGCUUGCCGGGUAGCCUGACAGUGACAGAUUAUUCAUCUGGUACUGAACGGGUCACCCAACAGCCCUGGGUCCAUUUUCCUUCAUUGAUGGAAGCAACGGCCCAGAGAAAGGACCUCACGCUGUACUUUAACCCUGUGCCAAGGGCAAGGGACAGAGUCGGUUUCAAGGGGAUAGCACCAUCCAUUUCGGUGGUGUGGACCAACAUUCCAGAAUUCAGAUAUGCCACCCCCCAGCAAACUGCGUCCCUUCAAACUCCACAGCCUCUCCCCCGGAGAUCGUGUCCAGCACCGCCAGGCUUCCAGCACCUUGAUGGAGAAAAUCAAAGCAAAGCAAAAGAAAAUUGCUGCUCUGCAGUGAGCCCGCAGGAGUCCUGACGGCUUGGCGGUUACUGUGAGCCGCCUGGCCGCAGAGGAGGCUGCGAGAAGGGUUUGCGUCAAAGCGACCUGCCCCCAGUGGUCCUGAAACAGGGACAUUACACCGACCCGCCCAGCCCCCAGCCCCUCCGGGAGCCAACAGGAACACGGCUCUCUCCCUUCAGGACCGGAAUAAUGGAAGUGCCCUUUUGUCUGACGCAUCUCAAGGCUUCAGAUUUGAAAUUGUGCUUUGAGGUGAAAUUCUGAACCCAACCUGAAGUCGCAGUAGGGACCCCUCCCCAUUUGCAAAAUAAAAACACCCCUGCUCCACAAGUGUUCUUUCUGCUCGAGCCCUGGCUCUCUGGAAAUCUGUGGAUUACUUAAAUAACAUUUUCUGCCUUCCAGUUUUGAGGUUUUUCAGAAACACGAUUUCCCCAAAGGGCCAGGUGGCUAAAGAAGAAAGGCGUUUCAUUUUUUAUCGGUCACGAAAUAAAUAAAAUAUCUUUCCAAAGUUGUUACUUUUAAAUUGGACUGGAUUUUUCUUUUUCUUUCGGUUGAACAAGUUGAAGAAAAUAAUGUCAUCUCUUGGCUACCGACCACUAAGAUGAUUCUGUUUUAUCUGGCAAUUUAUAUGCAGAGUGUGAUGUAUGGUUUAACCUUCCUAAUUGGGGGACACACUGUCUGAAUUAGUGACAAGUCUGAAUUAUGGUGCUUUUAAGAAAAAAAAUAUUCCAUUUGUGUACUUUCAAGUCCAUGAAACCAUUAGAACUGGUCUUCCGAAGUAGUGUCCAGUGAAGUCUCCCUGCGAAUUUUCUUGAAGCAAGGAAAAGAAGAGCUUGUCAGCUUACAUGCCAGG